UUCGGGAGUCUCCCUCCCCUUCACAUGGGUCGGGCCGGUGCUGUGGUUAGCGGGCCGGCCCGGCUCAAAAUGUGGCUCUUACAGGUUCAAUAAAGAUGACACUUCAAAGUAUUUUCUGAAGCCUCCUGCCAAUUUGCUUGUACUAGAAGGAGAUUGUUUAGAUACCAGUUGUGAUCCUAGCGAAUUAGAAUCAUAUCUGGUAAUAUUAUGUUAACCAUGUGAAUUUUGCCAUUACUUGAACAAUUUUGUCUUAUUUUCUGAUGCUGUUGUUUAAUCAUGUUUUCCCAUAGUUUGCAACCUGUGAUUUUGUUGGAGAUUUUCUUCUGCUGGACCCCUGUGAUGCGGGAGCUAUCUAUGAUUCUUUAAAAACAAAUGUUGUUGGUGAAGAAAACAUUGCACCCCAUAGAGGCAGCUUGGUCAGGUCCAAAUCUCGCCACAGUAUUCUAACUUCUCCAUCGGGAUGUUCUCAGGCAACUGCUUAUAGAUCAAGUAUUGGGAAGAACCAAGGCAUCAAUCUAAAUCAAAAUACAGAGGGCAACUGUGCAUUUGAAAUAACGAUGAUAAUCAUUGGUCUGGACUGCAUGUUGACCCUGAUCAUCCUGAUGUGCCGUGUAGAGGAACCAAAUUUAGGAUGUUCAAAUGUUAUGGAUGAUUCUGAUUUCUGAUGAUGAUAAUAAUGAUCCAUGGAAGCCUCUAAAUCCUCAUGAGCCUGGGAACUUGAAAAUAAAACCAUUCAGAAAAGGUAUGUUAGUUUCUUUUUUUUCCCACCAAGAUAUCUUUCUUUUUUAUUUUUCUGUUAUAUAAUGAUAUUCUUUUUCUCCUGUCUUGAAUAGUUAAGGGUUUUAGAAGGCAGGCGAUUCGUAAUGUCAGGAGAAAUACUUUAACUUCUCAGUUUCCUAUUGCAAACUUGGAUGGUGUUAUCAGCCAAGAGUUUGCAGAAGCAUUUGAAGUAAAAUCUCGUUUACAGGAAAGGCUGCCUGCACCUCAGUCACCACCCCUAUUUGAAAAGCUAAGAAGAUCACUUACUUUUGGAGAACAAGAAACAUAUGACAGCUUUGGUGGUUUUGAGUAUGAAAAUGAUGAUAAUGGAGGAGAAAAUCACCCUAUCGAUUCUGAUCAAGCAGAACAUGAUCUGCUAAAUACUAUGUGCAAUAUGGACACUGAAGUACAAUUUUGCCAUGGGAAGCAAAAUGAUGAUGCUGUGACAUUUGAUCGUGUUGAAGGUCUAUCACAGGAUGAUCUAGAUUCUCAUGCAACCCUUGAAGAUUUGUACCACUCACAUUUGGUAAAAGACAAAAAUAUCUAUCUAGUUAUCUAUCUUUCUAUCUGCAUGCGCAUGCUGUAUUGUGGACACGAGUUGCAUUAUAAUUUCUAAUAUGCCAUCCAAUCUUCAUUUCUUGACCAUACUUGAUUCUAAAGGUGCAUCACAGCAUAUAUGGGAUAGCAAGUGCUAUUGUAGCUUUACAUUCUAAUAACCAUGGUAUGUUGAG